rnacentral:rRNA from 1 species
UACGGGGGGGGCAAGCGUUGUUCGGAAUUACUGGGCGUAAAGGGCUCGUAGGCGGCCAACUAAGUCGGACGUGAAAUCCCUCGGCUUAACCGGGGAACUGCGUCCGAUACUGGAUGGCUUGAGUUCGGGAGAGGGAUGCGGAAUUCCAGGUGUAGCGGUGAAAUGCGUAGAUAUCUGGAGGAACACCGGUGGCGAAGGCGGCAUCCUGGACCGACACUGACGCUGAGGAGCGAAAGCGUGGGUAGCAAACAGG